AGGUUAGCCAAAAACAACUUUAAACAAGAUGUAUAUUCCCAAAAUGAGGUACACAAGCGCAGCAUGAGACCAGACACUUUGUUUUCCCCUUGUGUUUCUAGAUUGAAUUCAGACUCUUAUUAAUGCCUGUGGAGGGUUUGUACCUCCAAAUCCAAUAUUGGAAAAACUAACCAGUCUAGUGCACUAUAAUUAGAAUAAACAAAGAUCCUAGACUAAGUCAAAGCAUUAAGCAUAUUUUGGAUUCCGACUGCUAAGAGAUAUAUUACAUUCUCACCUUCUUAAAGCUGCAUCCAGGUCAGGUUCGUCUUUAUAGUUGAAAGCCUCAUCAAAUCCGAAUUUGUUCUUCAGCAGAUCAACCUGAGAUCCCAUGUUAACACAGUAGAUAAAAGGGUACGAAGUAUUUUGAAUAUCAGGAUAUUCAGAUAUAUAAUGAAUACAGGUCAUCAGGUUCACAGUCUAUGUAGUAUAUUACAGUAUUAGAGGCAUAUCAGAUGAGACGAAAAAACAGUAGAACUGCUUUAGAUUGAGUGCAGCAGCUACAAGAAUAAGACUAAAUUGAUAACACUUCUAUUUGUAUGUAGGUAAUUGGUCACCAUAAUAGUACUUCCCAAUAAUGUCUCCAUCUUUGAAUUCCAAGAAUUUGGUACACAUCACUAUAGACAUACACGUUUAACAUAAAUAAUCAUUCAAUUGAGUCAAAGAUAUGGAAUUCCAACUAAAACAUUCACUGAUCUACAAGUACCAGUAACUAACCUUUUCCUUGCUUCCAGCACUCCCAACAACAUAGCAACCUGUCAACUUUGCAAAUUGGCCAACAAGCUGACCUACUGCUCCAGAUGCGGCUGAAAUGUAGACAGUCUCUCCUUUCUUAGGAGAGCAAACCUCAAAAAACCCAGCAUAAGCAGUCAUUCCAGGCAUACCUACAUAACAUAUGAAUACGUCAGAUGAGCCCAAACAACCAGUAGACUCCAACAAGAGAUCUCAUGAGGGAACAGUAAACAAUAUGCACAAAAAAAUAUUGACACCAGCUGUCAACUUGUGAAUAUAGCAUGAAACUUUUAUGUUCUCUGCUCAUACAUGAAAAGGAGCCAACACAAUCAGUUGCACAAAAAACUAUUGCCACAACUUAACUCAAGGGGUUAGGCCCUCAAGAGCUGCAAGGGAACAAAUUGUGGCUAAUCAAAUUUGCACAUUAGACUAAAAGACUUGGGAGGUCUAUAAGUAACACAAACCAGUUUGUUAGUUACAAAAAAGUAGAAAGCAGGAGAAGUUGGCAAUACCGAGAAGUCCAGUAUAGUAAGAGAGAGGCACAUCAGUGUGGUGAAUUUUAAACAGAGACUCUGUGGCAGUGAUGACACUAUAUUCUUCCCAGCCAGUAUGACCCCAAACCAAGUCGCCUGGCUUAAACUUUGGAUCCCCAGAUUCCAGGACUUUAGCCACUCCAUAACCAGUUACAGUCUGCAACAUGGAAUUCCAAAUUUUCUUUAGUUUGCUCUAUAUAUGCAAAUCUCUGAAUAAAGCACACUUUUUUUUUAUUCCAAAUUAUCUCAUGCAUUACAAUUUUACAUCAUUGUCCUUAUGUCACCUGGCCUCCAAACCUGGAAUUAAAAAUCUCUCAUCCACAUGACCCAAAGAAGCGAAUUUACAGAAAAAAUGAUAAAUAAAAGGGAUCUGCUAGAAGACACCUGGCCGGGGUUGAAGGAUUGGACAUAAGAGGGCCUGUCGUGCUUGGUCAUAUGGCCGCGUAAGUAAGGAUCGCAGGACAAGUAUAGGUUCUUGACGACAAGGCCAGUCGACCCUUGUGGAAGCUUGAGUUUGGCUGUGGACGUCCUCAAUUCCAUGUCGGAUUCUUUGGGGAACCCGGUCACAUAGUCUUUGAAUAUCACCUGCUUGUUGCUCAUCUCGCUCGCCAUUCGUACUUGCUUGCUGUUGAGAUCAAACUGCUCAAUGCUCUGGUCGUCCUUUCGAUGAGUGAUCAGCUAUUAUUUAUACACACAGAUAUGGACAAACGACAGGAAUGUCCAUUCCGGACAAGCAGAGAAGCCAAGUCCAUUCCGGACACACCAUUCCAGUUAUGGGUUCACAUUUCACCCGACGACGAAGUUGGUGCUUAUGUCAUCCACCUCUACUUACUUACGAGGCCCGAUCCAACGUAACCCUACCCUACCAAACUGUAUCUGAUGCAUUCACCAGCCAACUUACACAUGCCCAAUAUGCCCCAACAACAAAAACAAAAAGAACUUUGCAGCAGAACACAAGAGUUUGAUUCCCUUGUCUUCUGUUCUAUCAAUCUCCUGGUAUUAGUGGUAUUCUUUAUUUUCUUUUCAGCAACUACUGUAGGUUGCAUUAUGCGUUAUUCUUUUGGAAGUUUUUUAAUUGUUUUAAUUUUAUGUCUUAUAUUUUUCAUUUAACUAGAUCUACGUCCACCUACAAAAGUCGUCUUAUACAUACAAGAAUGUUGUCAUUUCAAAAAGUGCAUUCAUAUCUUCUUCUCAAUAUUAGAUCACACGCUGCCUUUCUCUUCAUACUUGAUAAUAGUAUAAAACAUGCUACAUUUAUUAGUGAUAAAGUAAUUUGGGAUUCACAUCCAAAACCAAUUGGUAAUGGGUGGAGUGGCCCAAACCCUUAUUAACCCACAUGCAAGGUCUCAUAUUCCCGAUGUGAGAUAUAUAUCUUAACACGCCCCCGCACGUGUGACGAAUCUUCUCAACACGUCUCCGCACGUGUGUCAAAUCUUCAACCCUAACACGUAGACAACAUUUGAGUGACGUGGAGUUCGUGUGGCCAUUGGGCUUCACACGUGGACGUGGGUAACCCGCUCUGAUACCAUGAUAAAAUAGUCUGGGGUUCACAUCCAAAACCAAUUGGUAAUGGGUAGAGUGGCCCAAACCCUUAUUAACCCACAUGCAAGGUCAUAUAUUCCCGAUGUGAGAUAUAUAUCUCAACAAUUAGGAUCAGACAGUUCUCCUCGACAUAAAAUGCAAUAUCCAAAGCAAGCUAACCAUAUACCUGAUACAAAGUUCAUUACAUAUACCAAGGUGCACUGCAGAUGGGCUUAAACAACUUAACAUAAAAACAAAUGACUCGGACUUCAGAAGUACAGAUGGAGCCGGAUUAGUAAUCACUCCCUGGAAACUACAACAACCUGCUUUCCCACGUUGCGGCCAGCAAAGAGCCCAAUCAGAGCUGCAGGAGCGUUCUCAAGGCCUUCAACUACAUCUUCCACAUAUGUAAUCUUCCCUUCUUUUAUGGCAGGCAACACUGUUUCAAGAAACUUUCCAUACAGAUGACAGUAACUGCUCACCAGGAAACCUUCCAUGCGGACCUGCUUAACAAUCAGAGACAUCAAAUUAUGUAUGCCUUCAGGCUUCUCCAAGUUGUACUGAGAUAUCAUCCCACACACUGCUAUUCGCCCUUUCAGCCUCAUGUUUGGUAGCACUGCAUCAAGCAUCUUUCCCCCCACAUUCUCAAAGUAAAUGUCAAUACCAUCAGGAAAAUACCUGCAGGUUAGCCAAAAACAACUUUAAACAAGAUGUAUAUUCCCAAAAUGAGGUACACAUGCGCAGCAUGAGACCAGACACUUUGUUUUCCCCUUGUGUUUCUAGAUUGAAUUCAGACUCUUAUUAAUGCCUGUGGAGGGUUUGUACCUCCAAAUCCAAUAUUGGAAAAACGAACCAGUCUAGUGUCACUGUAAUUAGAAUAAACAAAGAUCCUAGACUAAGUCAAAGCAUUAAGCAUAUUUUGGAUUCCGACUGCUAAGAGAUAUAUUACAUUCUCACCUUCUUAAAGCUGCAUCCAGGUCAGGUUCGUCUUUAUAGUUGAAAGCCUCAUCAAAUCCGAAUUUGUUCUUCAGCAGAUCAACCUGAGAUCCCAUGUUAACACAGUAGAUAAAAGGGUACGAAGUAUUCUGAAUAUCAGGAUAUUCAGAUAUACAAUGAAUACAGGUCAUCAGGUUCACAGUCUAUGUAGUAUAUUACAGUAUUAGAGGCAUAUCAGAUGAGGCGAAAAAACAGUAGAACUGCUUUAGAUUGAGUGCAGCAGCUACAAGAAUAAGACUAAAUUGAUAACACUUCUAUUUGUAUGUAGGUAAUUGAUCACCAUAAUAGUACUUCCCAAUAAUGUCUCCAUCUUUGAAUUCCAAGAAUUUGGUACACAUCACUAUAGACAUACACAUUUAACAUCACUAUAGACAUACACAUUUAACAUAAAAAUAGUCAUACAAUUGAGUCAAAGAUAUGGAAUCCCAACUAAAACAUUCACUGAUCUACGAGUACCAGUAACUAACCUUUUUCUUGCUUCCAGCACUCCCAACAACAUAGCAACCUGUCAACUUUGCAAAUUGGCCAACAAGCUGACCUACUGCUCCAGAUGCGGCUGAAAUGUAGAUAGUCUCUCCUUUCUUAGGAGAGCAAAACUCAAAAAACCCAGCAUAAGCAGUCAAUCCAGCCAUACCUACGUAACAUAUGAAUACGUCAGAUGAGCCCAAACAACCAAUAGACUCCAACAAGAGAUCUCAUGAGGGAACAAUAAACAAUAUGCACAAAAAAAUAUUGACACAAGCUGUCAACUUGUGACUAUAGCAUGAAACUUUUAUGUUCUCUGCUCGUGCAUGAAAAGUAGCUAAUACAAUCAGCUGCACAAAAAACUAUUGCCCCAACUUAACUCAAGGGGUUAGGUGUUGAGAUUGGUGUUCAUUCUCAUGCAACUAGAAACCAUGCAAAAGGUGAUGCAACAAAUAUUGACUUGGUGAAUAGCUAGCUAUGAUAUAUAGCUAUACAAAGCUUUAAAUGAUGUUUGUAGAAAUUGAAGGUGAAGAGUUAGUCUUCAAUGGUGUGCUCCUGCUUUUGUAAUAGGAGGGAAGAAAAAGGCUUUGCCUUUUUCACAUGAAUGGAUGUUGCCUAUAAAUUGGCUGCAUGGAAACCAUUUGAAGCAUGCAAGCAAGUCUGCAUCAAGUAAGCAUCAGACAAGCAAUAGAGAGCUUGUGGGUUGUGCAUGAGAGUGAGAGAGAAAAAAGUGCUACGAGGGAAAUUCUCUUAGGUGAGAUAUAGUGUUCUUGGGUAUUCUAUGAGUGAGGGUGUACAAGGGUUUGGGAUUUGGGUCAUGAGAUUUAACUCAUGUAUCUUGUACUAGUUUUUUUCUCAUAGUGGAAGAGUUAUAUCUUGGGGUGGACGUAGGCAGGAAAUUUGCCGAACCACGUUAAAUCUCGUGUCAACUGUUUUUCAUUCUUGUUUGUUAUUCUACUUUAUUGCAGUGUUGUUGGGUGUGUCUGUUUCUGAAUCUCAACAUUAGGCCCUCAAGAGCUGCAAGGUAACUAAUUGUGGGGUUUGUGGCUAAUCAAAUUAGCACAUUAGACUAAAGACUUGGGAGGUCUAUAAGUAACACAAACCAGUUUGUUAGUUACAAAAAAGUAGAAAGCAAGAGAAGUAGGCAAUACCGAGAAGUCCAGUAUAGUAAGAGAGAGGCACAUCAGUGUGGUGAAUUUUAAACAGAGACUCUGUGGCAGUGAUGACACUAUAUUCUUCCCAGCCAGUAGGACCCCAAACCAAGUCGCCUGGCUUAAACUUUGGAUCCCCAGAUUCCAGGACUUUAGCGACUCCAUAACCAGUUACAGUCUGCAACAUUCCAAAUUUUCUUAAAUUAGCUCUAUAUAUGCAAAUCUCUGAAUAAAGCACACACAUUUUUUGUUAUUCCAAAUUAUCUCAUGCAUUACAAUUUUAUAUCAUUGUCCUUAUAUCACCUGGCCCCCAAACCUGGAAUUAAAAAUCUCUCAUCCACAUGACCCAAAGAAGCGAAUUUACAGAAAAAAUGAUAAAUAAAAGGGAUCUGCUAGAAGACACCUGGCCGGGGUUGAAGGAUUGGACAUAAGAGGGCCUGUCGUGCUUGGUCAUAUGGCCGCGUAAGUAAGGAUCGCAGGACAAGUAUAGGUUCUUGACGACAAGGCCAGUCGACCCUUGUGGAAGCUUGAGUUUGGCUGUGGACGUCCUCAAUUCCAUGUCGGAUUCUUUGGGGAACCCGGUCACAUAGUCUUUGAAUAUCACCUGCUUGUUACUCACUUCCACUCCGUCACUCGCCAUUUUCAGCUUCUCUCUCCUCUCUGUGUCUCUCUACAACCGUAACUGAAGAAGAUGAGGGCGAUACGAGCAAUAUAUGCCAGGAAAUAUAGUAAUCACUGUAAUUUCUUACCUUACUAUGAUGUCACAGCCCAGCUCUCUCUGGAAUUUUCUGUUUAGAAUCAAAACAAAUUUCUUGGACAAUAAAUUUCACAUUUUUGUCACGUUUGGUUUCUUCAAUGCCGCUGACAGCAUUGGCGGAGCCAAUGAAGGACCGGUGAGGGCCUGUGCACAAGGACCGGUGAGGGCCUGUGCGCCUAGAGAAAUAUUGAAUUUCAUUGGUUAAUCUUCUUUGUGCCUCUGGAUAAAUAUUGAAUUUCAUUGGCUAAUCUUCUUUGUGCCCCCACAACAAUUCAUCUUCUUCUACUUCGAUUGGGAUUAUGCCUAGUUUCUCUUCUAUAGUUCUAUUUCUUGUAUUUGGGCUUUAGCUUUUUAGACUGGGUUUUUGGAAUGUGUCUCUUAAUUUCCACAAAAAAGCUAGACUAAGACAAAAGUCAUUAUUAAUUUGAAUUAAUGGGAUAUUUUUAACCUGAAGAAUGAACACUGUGGUCAUGGUAUGUAUGAACGUUAAGUUUUGGUUGGGAGCUGUGUAGAUUAUGUAGACAAAUUCUGGGUUUGCAAACUUCAAUUUUUGUACACACAAGUUACAGAGAGGAUUCAAAGCACCAAGGUGCACUUAAACCAAGAUGAAUAGACCGUUGGAUUACAUUUAUCUUAUUAUUUAAUAUUUAAAUAAAAAGUUAAGUAGAAAUAUCAACGGUUAAGAUUUUCUAAUAAAUACUUGGUUCACUUGUACCUUGGUAUAUGCAAGAAUUUUCGCACAAGUUAGCCACAGGUAAUGCUUAUAGUUGUGCGUAUAUAUAUAUAUAUAUUAGUAUAAUUUAGCGGUAAGAAAUUUUUGUGCCCCCAUUGAUAUAUUUUUCUGGCUCCGUCACUGGUUGACAGUACGACGUCCCUGCUUACGUCAACAGUUCAUUGCUGUCCUCUUGCACUAUGUUGUUACCAUUUCUGGGGUACAAGUUUCAUUUUUUUACUUGUAAAUUGCAAUUCAAUACAAACACAAGGAUGGUUUGGAGGACAGGUUGGUUUGGAGGACAGCAAAGGAUGGAACUCAAUAGUUUUGUGGAAAUACAUGCAUGGAAAACUACAACCUGAUGAUAUUCGACAACCUCGUGGCUACCAUUUGUCUUCAAUCUGCUUCCUCUGUCAUAAUAAUGUUGAGACUGCAGAGCACCUCUUCUUGCAUUGUUAUUUUGCAACUAAUAUCUGGGAAAAUCUUUUGGAUUUGUUUCAGGUUCGGGGUAUUUUCAAUGAUAUUAUUUCUUUCUUUACCUACCCUAUAUGUCAUGUUUAUAGCUCUCAGUUAACUCUGCUAUGGUGGGGAAUGAUUGGUGCUGGUUUUUAUGCUAUUUGACAUGUAAGGAAUGCUCUUCGUUUUCAAGAGUCAAUCAUAUUUUCAGGUUCCUUACUCCAUUCUAUUAAGAUGCAACUUCAUGAGAUUAAUCUUUUGAGUAAGGGCACAAUGAAGAAUACUGUAGACGAGCUUUGCAUUUUGCAUUGCAUUGGUAUUAGGGGCAGGCCAUCUAAAGCGCCAAAAAUUGUUGAAGUUAUGUGGCAUGUUCCCUUUAUUUAUUAAGUCAAGCUCAACACUGAUGGUGCGGCUCGUUGCUCUCCUGGUGUGGCAUUUUUCGAGAUCAUUUGGGUCGGGUUUUAGGUUGUUUUUCAAGAAAUCUUGGUUUUGCUACUGUAUUAGAAGCCGAGCUGCAAGCUGUCAUUCACGCCAUUCAAAUGGCUGCACAAAGAGGUUGGCUUUCUAGUUGGAUUGAAUUGAAAGUGAUUCUACUUUAGUGAUUCAUUUUCUUUCUUCAUUUCAAGUUGAUGUACCUUGGCGUUUCACUACUGAAUGGUUUAACUGUCGAGCUAUUCUUGCUACUAUGACUAUUAAUUAAAGUAUCUCAUAUUUAUCAGGGGGAUAACAGUGUUGCGAACUGCUUAGCUAAUUUUGGUGCGGAUAAUGCGGGAGUUUAUUGGUGGGAUUCAUGUCCAUCUUGUGCAAUUACAGCUUAUUCACGUGAUUUAGCAAGUAUUCCCAACUAUCGUUUUAGUUUGUGAUCUUUUAUUGGUCUUUUAAUUUGUAACUCUUCUUCUUUUUUCCGGAAGGGGUCUUGGUCUAUGUCUUUUUCUUUUUUUUUCUUUUUUUAUGAGGGGAGGAAAUUACAAGGAGAAGCCUCUACAACAACCUAUACUAAAACGAUCAAAAUUAAAGGCAUUAAGUGUGGAGAGCGAGAGCUUGCGAUUCCAGAGAGUUGGAUUUGGGACUGAUGCCCCAAGCUAGCCAUUGCAUUGGUCACAAAAUUUGCUUCCCGAGAGACAUACUUGAAGGUGAUCUCUUCAAACUUGGAAGCCAUCCAGCCAACAUCACUAAAAAGAGUACGGAGUCUCCAAAGAGAAAGGGGGGGGGGACCUGUUGUUAAUAAGGUCAAUAAUAAGCUUAGAAUCACCCUCAACUUGGACACGCCGGAUGUCGUUGCAAAGCGCAUGGAACAGACUGUCUCGAAGAGUACUACAAUAUUCAGCAAUAAGAACAUUGGAGUUACCCACACAACGAGAGCCAGCUAAAAUUGGAUUGCCCUCAUGGUUUCUGAUUACAAACCCAGCAUCAGCCUUCUUGUUGUGGCAGACGGAACCAUCAAAGUUGAGCUUGACAAGAUUACAUGGAGGCGGGAGCCAUUUGAUGGAGGAACUUGCUGGAAUGGCAAAUCCAUUGGAGUUGGUCUUGUGGCCUCUAGUAGUCGGAUUAUGGCUUAUGUAAUCAUUACUAGAAGAAGCAACAACAUGCACAACAACAAAGUUGGGGUUGGGCGUGCAUCCUCUAAAAAUAUAAUUGUUUCAGGCCUCCCAUAAUUUCCAGCAAAGGAGAAUGCAGUUUUCAGCUGUUUCUUUAUCUUUUUCCUUCCUGAACAGGGAAAGAAACCAGUCAUAGAAAGAUGAAUAAUCAAAAGCAUUAGUACCAAUCAUAUUCCAAAUACUCAUAGCAAAAGGGCAGGAGAAGAAGAGGUGGUUUAAAUCCUCCUCCCCAUUGCUACAGAGAGUACAAGAAGAGCUAAUAGUGUUUGAGUAACGAGCUAAUCUAGCCCUUGUUUUCAGCGUCUCUCUAGCCAGGAGCCAAGCAAAAAUUUUUGCUCUGGGAGGGAUAUUCAACUUCCAGAUGGCGGUUUUGGUCUAUGUCCCCCACUCCUUUUCUGUACUCUUUUGUUUCUCUUUUUUCAAUAAAUAACUGAAACCGAGCGUAUGGCUGAGCCUCCCAACUUGGCUGGGAUCCAAACCCUUAAAAAAAAAAUACAAACACAAGGUACAGAAAUCCUUGGAGGCACAGCUUCUUCACCAGAUCAAGAUGACAGUAACUACAAUUUAAGCAGAUCGAACAGGAAACAUGUAGCCAUCUUUCAUGUAUGAAAGGUCCAAAUACUAAACUCUACUUGUGUCCCUCAGACUACAUUUAUUUAUCUUGCCGAAAUGUAAAAUUUGAAGUUUCAGUUUCUCAUGAGUUUCAUUGAGAUAAAUCCAUUGAUGUAGCUAGUCAUUCAUUCUCAGGAAACAACAAGCACCUGCUUUCCUACAUUGCGGCCAGCAAAGAGGCCAAGCAAAGCCGAUGGAGCAUUCUCCAGGCCUUCAACAACAUCUUCAACGUAUGCUUGCCUUCUUUUAUGUAAGGCAGAACGAAUUCGAGAAACUUGCCGUAGAUAGGAAAGUAUUUUGCAACCAGGCAGUUUUAUUUGAUGUCCAAGCAGAUCUUAGCAACUUUGCUUCCAAGCAGAGAAGCCAAGUCCAUUUCGGAUACACUUCAUUCCAGUUAUGGGCUCACGCUUCACCCGACGACGACGUUGGUGCUUACAUCAUCCACCUCUACUUACUUACGAGGCCCAACCCAACCUAACCCUACCCUACCAAACCCAGCCCAGCAUCCCCAGCUGUAUCUGAGGCAUUCACCAGCCAACUUACACAUGCCCAAUAUGCCCCAACAACAAAAACAAAAAGAACUUUGCAGCAGAACACAAGAGUUUGAUUCCAUUGUCUUAUGUUCUAUCAAUCUCCUAGUAUUAGUGGUAUUCUUCAUUUUCUUUUCAGCAACUACUGUGUUGGUUGCAUUAUGCGUUAUUCUUUUGGAAGUUUUUUAAUUGUUUUAAUUUUAUAUGUCUUAAAUCUUCCAUAUAACUAGAUCUACGUCUCUUACAAAAGUCGUUUUAUACCUACAAGAAUGUUGUCAUUUCAAAAACUGGAGGAUGCAUAAGUGCAUUCAUAUCUUCUUCUCAAUAUUAUAUCACACACUGCCUUUCUCUUCAUACUUGAUAAUAGUAUAAAACUAUUGUGAAAAUCAUGCUACAUUUAUUAGGAUGAGACAGCUCUCAGGAUGAGACAGCUCUCCUCAACACAAAAUGCAAUAUCCAAAGCAAGCUAACCAUAUACCUGAUACAAAGUUCAUUACAUACACCAAGGUGCACUGCAGAUGGGCUUAAACAACUUAACAUAAAAACAAAUGUCUCGGACUUCAGAAGUACAGAUGGAGCCGGAUUAGUAAUCACUCCCUGGAAACUACAACAACCUGCUUUCCCACGUUGCGGCCAGCAAAGAGCCCAAUUAGAGCUGCAGGAGCGUUCUCAAGGCCCUCAACUACAUCUUCCACAUAUGUAAUCUUCCCUUCUUUUAUGGCAGGCAACACUGUUUCAAGAAACUUUCCAUACAGAUGAUAGUAACUGAACACCAGGAAACCUUCCAUGCGGACCUGCUUAACAAUCAAAGACAUCAAAUUAUGUAUGCCUUCAGGCUUCUCCAAGUUGUACUGAGAUAUCAUCCCACACACUGCUAUUCGCCCUUUCAGCCUCAUGUUUGGUAGCACUGCAUCAAGCAUCUUUCCCCCCACAUUCUCAAAGUAAAUGUCAAUACCAUCAGGAAAAUACCUGCAGGUUAGCCAAAAACAACUGUAAACAAGAUGUAUAUUCCCAAAAUGAGGUACACAUGCGCAGCAUGAGACCAGACACUUUGUUUUCCCCUUGUGUUUCUAGAUUGAAUUCAGACUCUUAUUAAUGCCUGUGGAGGGUUUGUAUCUCCAAAUCCAAUAUUGGAAAAACUAACCAGUCUAGUGUCACUAUAAUUAGAAUAAACAAAGAUCCUAGACUAAGUCAAAGCAUUAAGCAUAUUUUGGAUUCCGACUGCUAAGAGAUAUAUUACAUUCUCACCUUCUUAAAGCUGCAUCCAGGUCAGGUUCGUCUUUAUAGUUGAAAGCCUCAUCAAAUCCGAAUUUGUUCUUCAGCAGAUCAACCUGAGAUCCCAGAAAUUGUAUAUCCCCAUAUUAACACAGUAGAUAAAGGGGUACGAAGUAUUUUGAAUAUCAGGAUAUUCAGAUAUAGAAUGACACCAUACAGGUCAUCAGGUUCACAGUUUAUGUAGUAUAUUACAGUAUUAUAGGCAUAUCAGAUGAGACGAAAAAAACAGUAGAACUGCUUUAGAUUGAGUGCAGCAGCUACAAGAAUAAGACUAAAUUGAUACUAACACUCUUCUAUUUGUAUGUAGGUAAUUGGUCACCAUAAUAGUACUUCCCAAUAAUGUCUCCAUCUUUGAAUUCCAAGAAUUUGGUACACAUCACUCGGAGACAAUUUUUAAAAGACAUCACUAUAGACAUACACAUUUAACAUAUAUAAUCAUACAAUUGAGUCAAAGAUAUGGAAUCCCAACUAAAACAUUCACUGAUCUACGAGUACCAGUAACUAAC
rnacentral:lncRNA from 1 species